CCAGCCCUCCCUCUCUGUUCCUCCAUUUCUUUCAUUUUCCCAAGCUCUGCUCAUCAAAAGACACAACAAAAGCACAUCCAAGGCUGCAAUAAACGAUCCCAAGCCACAGAGGGCACUCAUUGUCCAAUCAUGCCGGAAGUCGCCCACCUGGCCUCCAUGAAGCCACAUUUGCCUGCAGUGACUGCGCAAGCCAGUUUCACUGCUUCACCCUCAACCCUCAGUGUCCUGGCUACUACCACGCUGCUCCCAUGGGAGGAGCUGCACAUGCAAGUGCACACCAUCCUGAUAAUUGUGGUUUUCUGUGUGGUCUGCUUCCUGCUCCUGCUGGCCUUCGUGUAUACGUUCUGCUUCCAUUGCUCCAUCCGCUCGCACCCUAAAGACUCCCAAAGAGCCCGUGGAGGCAACCUAGAUCGUGAGGACGCCACCUAUAAGCGCAGCUCAUCUGACAACCAGUCAGUAGGGAACAUUGUCUGACUGGAACACUGAACCGGGAUGAUGACAGAUGUAUGAUUCACGUUGUUCUUGUUUCAAAGUGGGUGUGUGUUGUUUUGCUGAAAACCUAUAUUAGAUAUACUAGAUAUUGUUUAACUCCCAAUUGAUAUUAAUUUGAUGUACAGUGGACUAUUUGACGGAUGUAUACUUUUGCCGGAUCACAGACUAUCACAAACCUUAAAUACAAGGAAAAGAAAACAUAUUUUUUUAGUUUAGGAUGGACAUAUAAAUGAAUGUAUAUCAGGUGGCCAAGGUACAAUAAAACAUGUCUGUAUA